AUGGUUGAUGGAGAGGCAGAGUGUGUGGUCGAGGAAUCUGACUGUGACAUUAGGAAGUUCCCGGUGACCUACCUUGGCUUGCCUCUGACUGAUGGGCGCCUGCGACGGGAGGACCUGCAGCCGGCCCUUGACAGUCUGUCCAAGAGAUUGAGAGGGUGGAAAGCCAAGCUGAUUGCACUGCCGGGAAGAAUUGAACUGGUUAGAACCACCCUCUCUGCAAUGGCAAUUUAUCGGAUAAUGCCGAUUGCGCCGCCAAAGUGGUUCAUCAAGAUGGUGGAUAGGCUGUGUAGGGGCUUCCUUUGGGCGGCGGACGAGGUUUCCCCAGCUGGUAAAUGCUUAGUAAGAUGGAGCAAUGUCUGUCGGCCUCGAGAGCUCGGAGGGCUGGGCAUCCAUGACCUGAGACAGGGAAGCACCUUACGGGCCCGCUGGUGUUGGCUCACAUGGACUGAUAGAGACCGGCCUUGGGGUAAUCUG
rnacentral:rRNA from 1 species